rnacentral:rRNA from 1 species
UACGAAGGGGGCUAGCGUUGCUCGGAAUGACUGGGCGUAAAGGGCGCGUAGGCGGUUUGUACAGUCAGAUGUGAAAUUCCUGGGCUCAACCUGGGGGCUGCAUUUGAUACGUAUGGACUGGGGUGAGGAAGAGGGUCGUGGAAUUCCCAGUGUAGAGGUGAAAUUCGUAGAUAUUGGGAAGAACACCGGUGGCGAAGGCGGCGACCUGGUCCUUUACUGACGCUGAGGCGCGAAAGCGUGGGGAGCAAACAGG